CCUACGGGGGGCAGCAGUGGGGAAUAUUGCACAAUGGGGGAAACCCUGAUGCAGCGACGCCGCGUGAGCGAUGAAGUAUUUCGGUAUGUAAAGCUCUAUCAGCAGGGAAGAAAAUGACGGUACCUGACUAAGAAGCCCCGGCUAACUACGUGCCAGCAGCCGCGGUAAUACGUAGGUGGCAAGCGUCAUCCGGAUUUAUUGGGUGUAAAGGGCGUGUAGGCGGGAAUGCAAGUCAGAUGUGAAAACUAUGGGCUCAACCCAUAGCCUGCAUUUGAAACUGUAUUUCUUGAGUGCUGGAGAGGCAA
rnacentral:rRNA from 1 species